rnacentral:tRNA from 1 species
GCCUGAGUGGCUUAGUCGGUUAAGUGUCCGACUUCGGCUCAGGUCAUGAUCUCGCGGUUCGUAAGUUCAAGACCCACCUCGGGCU